rnacentral:rRNA from 1 species
AAGUCGACGGCAGCAUGGGCUUCGGCCUGAUGGCGAGUGGCGAACGGGUGAGUAAUACAUCGGAACGUGCCUAGUAGUGGGGGAUAACUACUCGAAAGAGUAGCUAAUACCGCAUGAGAUCUAAGGAUGAAAGCAGGGGACCUUCGGGCCUUGCGCUACUAGAGCGGCCGAUGGCAGAUUAGGUAGUUGGUGGGAUAAAAGCUUACCAAGCCGACGAUCUGUAGCUGGUCUGAGAGGACGACCAGCCACACUGGGACUGAGACACGGCCCAGACUCCUACGGGAGGCAGCAGUGGGGAAUUUUGGACAAUGGGCGCAAGCCUGAUCCAGCAAUGCCGCGUGCAGGAUGAAGGCCUUCGGGUUGUAAACUGCUUUUGUACGGAACGAAAAGCUUCUGGUUAAUACCUGGGAGUCAUGACGGUACCGUAAGAAUAAGCACCGGCUAACUACGUGCCAGCAGCCGCGGUAAUACGUAGGGUGCGAGCGUUAAUCGGAAUUACUGGGCGUAAAGCGUGCGCAGGCGGUUAUGUAAGACAGAGGUGAAAUCCCCGGGCUCAACCUGGGAACUGCCUUUGUGACUGCAUGGCUAGAGUGCGGCAGAGGGGGAUGUAAUUCCGGCGUGUAGCAUUGAAUUGCGUAAAAUAUGCGUAGGAACACCGAUGGCGAAAGCCUUCCCCCUGGUCCC